AGUGAAGCAAGGAGGAAAUUGCAGUG
rnacentral:piRNA from 1 species